rnacentral:rRNA from 1 species
GAUCAUGGCUCAGGACGAACGCUGGCGGCGCGCCUAACACAUGCAAGUCGAACGGAGUUUACAGACGGAAGUUUUUCGGAUGGAAGCUUGUAAACUUUAGUGGCGGACGGGUGAGUAACACGUGAGCAACCUGCCUAUCAGAGGGGGAUAACGGAUUGGAAACGAUCGCUAAUACCGCAUGACAUAGCGGAAUCGCAUGGUUCUGUUAUCAAAGAUUUUUAAUCGCUGAUAGAUGGG